rnacentral:rRNA from 1 species
AGUGAGCGCUGGCGGUAGGCCUAACACAUGCAAGUCGAACGGCAGCACAGUAAGAGCUUGCUCUUACGGGUGGCGAGUGGCGGACGGGUGAGGAAUACAUCGGAAUCUACUUUUUCGUGGGGGAUAACGUAGGGAAACUUACGCUAGUACCGCAUACGACCUACGGGUGAAAGCAGGGGAUCUUCGGACCUUGCGCGAUUGAAUGAGCCGAUGUCGGAUUAGCUAGUUGGCGGGGUAAAGGCCCACCAAGGCGACGAUCCGUAGCUGGUCUGAGAGGAUGAUCAGCCACACUGGAACUGAGACACGGUCCAGACUCCUACGGGAGGCAGCAGUGGGGAAUAUUGGACAAAGGGCGCAAGCCUGAUCCAGCCAUACCGCGUGGGUGAAGAAGGCCUUCGGGUUGUAAAGCCCUUUUGUUGGGAAAGAAAAGCAGCAGGUUAAUACCCCGCUGUUCUGACGGUACCCAAAGAAUAAGCACCGGCUAACUUCGUG